AGGUGUCAUGUGAGCAAAGGCAUCUAAAAUGGGCAUGUGCUCGCUUCAAAGUCAAUGAGUAUAUUCAAAAAUGUAUUAAAGAUAUAACUAUUCUUGGAGCACUUACCUACAACUUUAAAUUUUUAGAUUGAAUGGUUUCUUGACAGUAUACAGCUCAAAUCAAUGAAAAAAAACUGAAUGAUAGGAACUGCUAUUGGUUGAGUGUUGAUAUUCUUGCAAGCCUCUGAGCAAUAUGAGAAAGGUUUUGUUCAGUAUGUUUGUUUGAACGUGCAAAUGAAUGCCCUAGCAAUUGCUAUGCGAAUUAAUUUCUGGGCCCUGCAAAUUCAAAUCCAAUUUUGAGUAAUCCAGCGAGAAAAUUUUCUCGGCCACUAAGCUCUAUUUCAAAGCAUUCUGAAGUGGGCCUAACUCAAAAUCAUUAUUUCCGGUACAGCUGAAACAAACUUCAGGCAACCAAAGCCAGCCUGCCGAUCUGCAAAUGCCCUUCACUACAUAUGCCAGGAACAGGAAGACACUGUCUUUUUAUCUUCUGCAAGGAGCAACCAACAAGCAACCAAGUUCUGAAUCCUGAUCCCAUUGACUUUACCAGUUUUGAAGUGGUACCCCCCAAAUUCAAGGACCAUAUUCAUUAGGCAAUCUUUAGGACAGACAUCGUAUUUAAUAAAAUUUAAAUCUCGACGCUCACAUUAAAUAGCUUCCUUUUAUCACUAGACUAAGGCACAAUUUCAUCCAAGAAGAAUUAUUAUCUGCAUAAAAGGCUAAAAAUACUCAUCUCUGAGACCUUGCUUGCCUAGUAAAGGAGUAUUUCACUCUUUAGAUGGGAAAGAUUUGAGCUGGAAAGUGCCAACUUUGAACUUCUAUUGUAUAUCCACCUAUUAGUCCA
rnacentral:misc_RNA from 1 species